GCUAAUACCGCAUACGUCCUACGGGAGAAAGCGGGGGAUCUUCGGACCUCGNGCCAUUAGAUGAGCCUAGGUCGGAUUAGCUUGUUGGUAAGUAACGGCUUACCAAGGCAACGAUGGGUAGGGGUCCUGAGAGGGAGAUCCCCCACACUGGGUACUGAGACACGGACCAGACUCCUACGGGAGGCAGCAGUGGGGAAUAUUGGACAAUGGGGCCGAAAGCCUGAUCCAGCAAUGCCGCGUGAGUGAUGAAGGCCUUAGGGGUUGUAAAGCUCUUUUACCCGAGAUGAUAAUGACAGUAUCGGGAGAAUAAGCUCCGGCUAACUCCGUG
rnacentral:rRNA from 1 species